rnacentral:rRNA from 1 species
UACGUAGGGGGCAAGCGUUGUCCGGAAUCAUUGGGCGUAAAGAGCGUGUAGGCGGCCAGAUAAGUCCGCUUUGAAAUCUCGAGGCUCAACUUCGAGCUGUCGGUGGAAACUGUCUGGCUAGAGUCCGGAAGAGGAGAAUGGAAUUCCUGGUGUAGCGGUGAAAUGCGCAGAUAUCAGGAAGAACACCCGUGGCGAAGGCGGUUCCCUGGGACGGUACUGACGCUGAGACGCGAAAGCGUGGGGAGCGAACAGG